rnacentral:rRNA from 1 species
CUCAGUGUUUAGAUUGCCCCUCACCAAUUUUGUAAGAACUGGGAUGCUAAGUAGGGUCAGCACUGUUUAGUACUUGGAUGGGAAGCUGCCUAGGAAUACAAUACACUGAAG